rnacentral:rRNA from 1 species
CGCCAGGGUAUUACGAGCGCAAGCUUAAAACCCAAAGGAUUUGACGGUGUUCCACCCACCUAGAGGAGCCUGUUCUAUAAUCGAUGAUCCCCGAUACACCUCACCACUUCUUGCUUUUCAGCCUGUAUACCUCCGUCGCAAACCUACCAUCUGAGUGUAGUAAAGUAGAUCUAAUGAAUUACCACAUAUAUACGUCAGGUCAAGGUGCAGCCUAUGAAGUGGAAAGAAAUGGGCUACAAUUUCUAAAAUAGAACAAACGAAACACUAAGUGAAAUAUAGUCAUGAAGGCGGAUUUAGCAGUAAAAGAAGAAUAGAGUGCUUCUUUUAACAAGGCCCUGGAACGUGUACAAACCGCCCGUCACCCUCUUCAAUAGCACAUCCCCUUAGCUUCUUAACAACACUCAGCACCUUAGAAGAGGUAAGUCGUAACAUGGUAAGUGUACUGGAAAGUGCACUUGGAUAA